rnacentral:rRNA from 1 species
AACCGGGACAGAAGGGAGCUUGCUCCCGGAUGUUAGCGGCGGACGGGUGAGUAACACGUGGGUAACCUGCCUGUAAGACUGGGAUAACUCCGGGAAACCGGAGCUAAUACCGGAUAGUUCCUUGAACCGCAUGGUUCAAGGAUGAAAGACGGUUUCGGCUGUCACUUACAGAUGGACCCGCGGCGCAUUAGCUAGUUGGUGAGGUAACGGCUCACCAAGGCGACGAUGCGUAGCCGACCUGAGAGGGUGAUCGGCCACACUGGGACUGAGACACGGCCCAGACUCCUACGGGAGGCAGCAGUAGGGAAUCUUCCGCAAUGGACGAAAGUCUGACGGAGCAACGCCGCGUGAGUGAUGAAGGUUUUCGGAUCGUAAAGCUCUGUUGUUAGGGAAGAACAAGUGCAAGAGUAACUGCUUGCACCUUGACGGUACCUAACCAGAAAGCCACGGCUAACUACGUGCCAGCAGCCGCGGUAAUACGUAGGUGGCAAGCGUUGUCCGGAAUUAUUGGGCGUAAAGGGCUCGCAGGCGGUUUCUUAAGUCUGAUGUGAAAGCCCCCGGCUCAACCGGGGAGGGUCAUUGGAAACUGGGAAACUUGAGUGCAGAAGAGGAGAGUGGAAUUCCACGUGUAGCGGUGAAAUGCGUAGAGAUGUGGAGGAACACCAGUGGCGAAGGCGACUCUCUGGUCUGUAACUGACGCUGAGGAGCGAAAGCGUGGGGAGCGAACAGGAUUAGAUACCCUGGUAGUCCACGCCGUAAACGAUGAGUGCUAAGUGUUAGGGGGUUUCCGCCCCUUAGUGCUGCAGCUAACGCAUUAAGCACUCCGCCUGGCGAGUACGGUCGGAAGACUGAAACUCAAAGGAAUUGACGGGGGCCCGCACAAGCGGUGGAGCAUGUGGUUUAUUUCGAAGCAACGGAAGAAACCUUACAUGUUCUGACUUCGUCUGACACCCUAAAAAUGGGGUUUUCCUUUCGGGAACGAGUGAAGGAGGAGUGUGGGUUGGCCU